GAUGAACGCUGGCGGCGUGCCUAAUACAUGCAAGUCGAGCGAACAGACGAGGAGCUUGCUCCUCUGACGUUAGCGGCGGACGGGUGAGUAACACGUGGAUAACCUACCUAUAAGACUGGGAUAACUUCGGGAAACCGGAGCUAAUACCGGAUAAUAUAUUGAACCGCAUGGUUCAAUAGUGAAAGACGGUUUUGCUGUCACUUAUAGAUGGAUCCGCGCCGCAUUGGCUAGUUGGUAAGGUAACGGCUUACCAAGGCGACGAUGCGUAGCCGACCUGAGAGGGUGAUCGGCCACACUGGAACUGAGACACGGUCCAGACUCCUACGGGAGGCAGCAGUAGGGAAUCUUCCGCAAUGGGCGAAAGCCUGACGGAGCAACGCCGCGUGAGUGAUGAAGGUCUUCGGAUCGUAAAACUCUGUUAUUAGGGAAGAACAAAUGUGUAAGUAACUAUGCACGUCUUGACGGUACCUAAUCAGAAAGCCACGGCUAACUACGU
rnacentral:rRNA from 1 species